CAGCCGCCGCGGUAAUACAGAGGGUGCAAGCGUUAAUCGGAAUUACUGGGCGUAAAGCGCGCGUAGGUGGUUUGUUAAGUUGGAUGUGAAAGCCCCGGGCUCAACCUGGGAACUGCAUCCAAAACUGGCAAGCUAGAGUACGGUAGAGGGUGGUGGAAUUUCCUGUGUAGCGGUGAAAUGCGUAGAUAUAGGAAGGAACACCAGUGGCGAAGGCGACCACCUGGACUGAUACUGACACUGAGGUGCGAAAGCGUGGGGAGCAAACAGGAUUAGAGACCCGCGUAGUCCCUGUCUCUUAUAC
rnacentral:rRNA from 1 species